rnacentral:rRNA from 1 species
CUUGGUCAUUUAGAGGAAGUAAAAGUCGUAACAAGGUCUCCGUUGGUGAACCAGCGGAGGGAUCAUUACCGAGCUUACAACUCCCAAACCCCUGUGAACAUACCACUUGUUGCCUCGGCGGAUCAGCCCGCUCCCGGUAAAACGGGACGGCCCGCCAGAGGACCCCUAAACUCUGUUUCUAUAUGUAACUUCUGAGUAAAACCAUAAAUAAAUCAAAACUUUCAACAACGGAUCUCUUGGUUCUGGCAUCGAUGAAGAACGCAGCAAAAUGCGAUAAGUAAUGUGAAUUGCAGAAUUCAGUGAAUCAUCGAAUCUUUGAACGCACAUUGCGCCCGCCAGUAUUCUGGCGGGCAUGCCUGUUCGAGCGUCAUUUCAACCCUCAAGCACAGCUUGGUGUUGGGACUCGCGUUAAUUCGCGUUCCUCAAAUUGAUUGGCGGUCACGUCGAGCUUCCAUAGCGUAGUAGUAAAACCCUCGUUACUGGUAAUCGUCGCGGCCACGCCGUUAAACCCCAACUUCUGAAUGUUGACCUCGGAUCAGGUAGGAAUACCCGCUGAACUUAAGCAUAUCAAUAAGCGGAGG